rnacentral:rRNA from 1 species
GAUGAACGCUGGCGGCGUGCCUAAUACAUGCAAGUCGAGCGAACGGACGAGAAGCUUGCUUCUCUGAUGUUAGCGGCGGACGGGUGAGUAACACGUGGAUAACCUACCUAUAAGACUGGGAUAACUUCGGGAAACCGGAGCUAAUACCGGAUAAUAUUUUGAACCGCAUGGUUCGAAAGUGAAAGACGGUCUUGCUGUCACUUAUAGAUGGAUCCGCGCUGCAUUAGCUAGUUGGUAAGGUAACGGCUUAUCAAGGCAACGAUGCAUAGCCGACCUGAGAGGGUGAUCGGCCACACUGGAACUGAGACACGGUCCAGACUCCUACGGGAGGCAGCAGUAGGGAAUCUUCCGCAAUGGGCGAAAGCCUGACGGAGCAACGCCGCGUGAGUGAUGAAGGUCUUCGGAUCGUAAAACUCUGUUAUUAGGGAAGAACAUAUGUGUAAGUAACUGUGCACAUCUUGACGGUACCUAAUCAGAAAGCCACGGCUAACUACGUG